AGGCUGUUGGGCGGUUCAAGCACUGCGAGCAUAAAUAUAGCGGUGCAAAACAGCCUAGAACGGCGCCGUCCAAUGUUCUUCUAAAACCCAAGAAGCACCGACGAAGAACUUUGAAGAAGUGAAAAGCUUCGUCAAUGGCGUACUUGCUCUCCGUAAGCUUCUCUUUGCCUCUCCUCUCUAUAAUCCACGAAUCCAACUUCAGAGUGCUUUUUUUUGGACAUUGUAAAAUUGUGCACAUGAUGAAGGCUGGAAAGCUAUUCAUCGUGGGCUUGGCAAGAUAGGAGAAAACUAGGGCUGAAGGAAAAGUUCUCGAAGAAGCUAAAAUGAUCAACAAGUCCCUCUCGGCUCUUGGGAAUGUCAUAAAUGAUCAACACAUCCUGUUUCAUGUUUCCAAGCUUACUAGGUGGGGACUCCAGAACUGCUUUGUUGUGUUGUUGCUUACCGAGCCCUUCAAAUGCAUCUGAGAACCUGUAGAAUGGGUUGAAGACCAGCAAAAUGUAACCUCCAGAUUAAAAAUAUGCCAUAUCCCCUUUUUGGAGUGGAACGUGUAAAGAGUUGCAAGUUGGUCAGACCCAACCGCAAGGUCUCCCUUUUUUGGGGAUUGUGGUAUUCUAUUUGGAUUACUAGAGUAUGAAUCAUUCUUUUGUAUUACAUUUUGGAAAUUAGAUAGUUUCAUUGUAUACAGGAAAUUUAUAGUUUAUGUAUUACUUGGAGAAUCACCUGUUUAGGCCUUA